GAGGGUAUAGCUCAGUGGUAGAGCGCGCAGUUACCCUGCAGAAAGUCUUGGGUUCAGUCCCCAGUACCUCUA
rnacentral:tRNA from 1 species